rnacentral:pre_miRNA from 1 species
AUUCUACUAACUCCGUUGCACAAUACAUGCCUUCUAUUUGUCAAAAUAUAUAUGUAUCUAGACAUGUUUUAGUAUAUAGGUACAUCCAUUUUUGGACAAAUGGAAGUCAAGUAUUUUGGAACGGAGGGAGUACACA